CCUACGGGAGGCAGCAGUGGGGAAUAUUGGGCAAUGGAGGAAACUCUGACCCAGCGACGCCGCGUGCGGGAUGAAGGCCUUCGGGUUGUAAACCGCUUUCAGCAGGGAAUAAGCGCAAGUGAAGGUACCUGCAGAAGAAGCACCGGCUAACUAUGUGCCAGCAGCCGCGGUAAUACAUAGGGUGCAAGCGUUGUCCGGAAUUAUUGGGCGUAAAGAGCUCGUAGGUGGUUUGUUACGUCGGUUGUGAAAUUCAGGGGCUCAACCCCUGACUUGCAGCCGAUACGGGCAAGCUAGAGUUUGGUAGGGGAGACUGGAAUUCCUGGUGUAGCGGUGGAAUGCGCAGAUAUCAGGAGGAACACCGAUGGCGAAGGCAGGUCUCUGGGCCAAUACUGACACUGAGGAGCGAAAGCGUGGGGAGCGAACAGGAUUAGAUACCCUGGUAGUCCACGCCGUAAACGGUGGGCGCUAGUUGUGCGAACCUUCCACGGUUUGUGCGACGCNGCUACGACAUAAGCGCCCGCCGUCGGGAGGUACGAGUCGCGAGAAGUUAAACGUAACGUAAAGUAAGUUAGUUAGUACGUUGUUAGAGNGCGACGACGACGACGACGGAGGAGGAG
rnacentral:rRNA from 1 species